CAGUGGUCCCCCAGGAUCGAGUGUGAGAACCACUGCGUUAGAGGGCCAUGUUCCCCCAAGGCCAAAUAAUCAGUGCCCCUAGGCAGUGACAGGAACGCCGUGCUGUAGGCGACGCUGUCUUUGGGAUGAGACGUAAAACCGAGUUCCUGACUCACCGUGCUCUCUCAACCUGCCACCACAUCACCCCCUGAUUUAAUAGGCUAAAAACUGUUAUCUCCCUCUCCGCCUCAGCUGAUGUGUUGUGAGCGUUAGCCUACGACGCAAAUUGGCUGUCGUGCGUCACCCAGGUGGGUGAUACACAUCGAUCGUGGUUAUGGCAUAUUUGCAGACCCACAGGCCAGCUGAACAGGAAGCACGUUUGGUCUAAGCUGAAGCCACGUGGCGGAGCACCGUUAUGAAUAACAGUGUGUGCCGGGAAGCCUCGUCACAAAGGCCAACCACCUACACGGCUAAAGCAGACCAUGCGGAUCUCUGUACACCUACGCCCAGGAGCACGGCUCAGCCAAGCGACUGGUACCUCAUCACACUGCUUAAUUAAACAGAUUCAUUAUGCUAAUUAAACCAAGGGAUGAUUAAAAUAUC